rnacentral:rRNA from 1 species
AAAAUUCCYUGACGGUACCUAAGGAAUAAGCACCGGCUAAACUCCGUGCCAGCAGCCGCGGUAAUACGGAAAGUGCAAGCGUUACUCGGAAUCACUGGGCGUAAAGGGCGCGUAGGCGGAUUAUCAAGUCUCUUGUGAAAUCUAAUGGCUUAACCAUUAAACUGCUUGGGAAACUGAUAGUCUAGAGUGAGGGAGAGGCAGAUGGAAUUGGUGGUGUAGGGGUAAAAUCCGUAGAUAUCACCAAGAAUACCCAUUGCGAAGGCGAUCUGCUGGAACUCAACUGACGCUAAGGCGCGAAAGCGUGGGGAGCAAACAGGAUUAGAUACCCUGGUAGUCCACGCCCUAAACGAUGUACACUAGUUGUUGGGGUGCUAGWCAUCUCAGUAAUGCAGCUAACGCAUUAAGUGUACCGCCUGGGGAGUACGGUCGCAAGAUUAAAACUCAAAGGAAUAGACGGGGACCCGCACAAGCGGUGGAGCAUGUGGUUUAAUUCGAAGAUACGCRAAGAACCUUACCUGGGCUUGAUAUCCUAAGAACCUUUUAGAGAUAAGAGGGUGCUAGCUUGCUAGAACUUAGAGACAGGUGCUGCACGGCUGYCGUCAGCUCGUGUCGUGAGAUGUUGGGUUAAGUCCCGCAACGAGCGCAACCCCACGUAUUUAGUUGCUAACGGUUCGGCCGAGCACUCCUAAUAGACUGCCUUCGUAAGGAGGAGGAAGGUGUGGACGACSUCAAGUCAUCAUGGCCCCUUAUGCCCAGGGCGACACACGUG